rnacentral:lncRNA from 1 species
UAAAAUAAAUCAUGUACAUAAAUAAUAUAAACGUAAACAGCAUGUAAAAUAUUUAAAAUAACACAUAAUAAAACAUUUUAAAAUAAAUAAAUGAAAUAAAAGGAUUCAGGACAUGAUUGAAAAUAGACUAGAAUUCAGGGUACCAAUUACAAAUAAAAGAGAAGGCCACCAGGGACUAAAUCAAAACACGCUUAAAUUCGCGAGGACAAAAUGGAGUAAUAUUCCAAGUCCUAAUGCGCUGCACUUCAACCGUCCAGGCCAAGGAUCGAAUUGGAAAUAGAAUAAAAUAAUAGGGUGAGAUUUAAAAAAAGAAGAAAGCAAAAUGAGACUAAAUAAUGGGACAGAAAAGGUGGAGGGACCAAAGUAGAUAUUUUCCCACUUAAAGGAAAUGCGCGGACCCCCUGGAGCGGGUCGGGUCGCGCACGGACAUACUCCAAACGACGCCGUUUCGGCGUUAGAAACCCAGGUGCAAAACGACGCCGUUUUUCCCUUCAUAUUUAAGUCAGUUUUUUUUUAUUUUUUUUCAUUUGCUUCCCUUUUUUUUAAAAAAAAAAUUCAGAGAAAACCCCCACCUCAUUUUCAUCUCUUCUCUACUAGGGUUAUAUGCCCAUCAUCGCUGCCAUCUGACCGCCGCACCACCACCGUAUCUGGUGGCCGGCGAUGCGUCAAAAUAGGCCCUUUUUUAGCCCCCGUUUGGAGCACCCUUGAAGGCCACGAUACCAACACCUGUAGGUGCCGAAGGGAGGAGACUCUCAGCCCCCUUUUGAGCUCGACCUCGGCGACGGAGAAGAGUUCCCCGAUGAUGCGGUCGCGAGGUGUCUCCGGUGAACCCCCCCCCCACUUUUCUCUCUUUUAUUAUUAUCACCUAAAUAUUUAUGCAAGAAUGAAAAAAAAAUAAAAUAAAAAGGAACAAAGAAAGAAUCUAAAACGAAAAUAAAGAUGAAAAUCACCUUCUGAAGUUUUUCUUUUUUGUUAUUUCUAUUUUCUGAUGUUUGUCAAAAAAAACUACAAAGAUGAAAUCGUGGCUUUUAAAGCCGUUUACAAAACGAUUAAAUCCUAUAUUUUUGUCAUUUUCUCCAUUAUUUGCCUUUGUCUUGCGUGUGAACCUUCGUUUUGCAGGUGUCAGAGGCGUGGGUGAGUGGUGGUUGGCUCGCGAGGAGGCGAGGCGGCGCGCGUGGUGGCCAAGGCUGAGGGGGUAGCG